rnacentral:rRNA from 1 species
UACGAAGGGGGCUAGCGUUGCUCGGAAUCACUGGGCGUAAAGGGUGCGUAGGCGGGUCUUUAAGUCAGGGGUGAAAUCCUGGAGCUCAACUCCAGAACUGCCUUUGAUACUGAAGAUUUUGAGUUCGGGAGAGGUGAGUGGAACUGCGAGUGUAGAGGUGAAAUUCGUAGAUAUUCGCAAGAACACCAGUGGCGAAGGCGGCUCACUGGCCCGAUACUGACGCUGAUGCACGAAAGCGUGGGGAGCAAACAGG